GUUUAAAAGUUAUUACGUUUUCUUUGCAAUAAGUAAUUGGAAGAAAAAAAAAAUCAAUAAAAAAUUUAAAAAAAAUCUCAAAAAUUUUUUGACCUCUUUUUUGUCGAUAAAAAUAGGUCUAGUUUCAUCUAUUUUCAUAUGUACACUUUAACGUGACUCACACUGUAUUAAACAUUGUUCGAAAUUGGAUUCAACCCAGAGAGAUUCGUCCUUCAGAUCUUCUUUGCCAUAGAUACUAUCAGAGAGCACGAAUUACUACAGUUGGUGCUUAUUUAAUGAAGCUGAGGACCGGUGAUUCAGAUGACAGAAUAGCUACAUUACUUGGCAUUUCAAGGAGUACUCUUACAAAAUAUGUAAUGAAAGCACGCAGUAUGAUGGAGGAACAUUUCGUACCAGCACAUUUAGGGUUACAACAUAUUAGUAGAGAGGAAGUAGCCCAAAGAAACCUUUAUGUUCCAGUCUCUUUUCGGGAAGCCAGGAAACGAUUUACCACAAAGAAAGGCUAUUGUCAUCAUGGAUGGUACAUACAUACAUUUAUGUGCAAAAAAGUAGCAAUUAUGCAUACCAAAAAAAAAAACUUAUUCCCUAUACAAAUAUCGGAAUCUCGUUAAACCAUUUAUGGUACUUUGUUGUGAUGGCGACAUCAUUGAUGUAUUGGGCCCAUAUUUAAUAGAAAAUGUAGAACAUGACCAUUAAUAAAUAAUAAGUACCUA